GCGCUCGUCGACCAAUUGGAUAGAGCAUCUGACUACGGAUCAGAAGGUUGCAGGUUCGAAUCCUGCCGAGCGCGCCA
rnacentral:tRNA from 1 species